CCUACGGGUGGCAGCAGUGGGGAAUAUUGCACAAUGGGGGAAACCCUGAUGCAGCGACGCCGCGUGAGCGAUGAAGUAUUUCGGUAUGUAAAGCUCUAUCAGCAGGGAAGAAAAUGACGGUACCUGAGUAAGAAGCCCCGGCUAACUACGUGCCAGCAGCCGCGGUAAUACGUAGGGGGCAAGCGUUAUCCGGCUUUACUGGGUGUAAAGGGGGCGUAGACGGUGAUGCAAGCCCGGAGUGAAAGCCCGGGGCUCAACCCCGGGACUGCUCUGGGAACUGCGUGGCUGGAGUGCAGGAGGGGCAGGCGGAAUUCCUGGUGUAGCGGUGAAGUGCGUAGAUAUCAGGAGGAACACCGGUGGCGAAGGCGGCUUGCUGGACAGCAACUGACGUUGAGGCUCGAAAGCGUGGGGAGCAAACAGGAUUAGAUACCCUAGUAGUC
rnacentral:rRNA from 1 species